rnacentral:snRNA from 1 species
GGAUGUGAGGGUGAUCUGGCUGCCACAUCUGUCGCCCCAUUGAUCGAUCGUCAGGGUUUAUUCGGCUGAUCUGGCUGCCUAGCCAGGUGUCCCCUUCCUCCCUCACCGCUCCACAUGCGUCCCUCCCAACGCUGCUGUACGCUCCGUUGAAGAGGACGGCCUUCCCCAAAUAGUGACGGACCGGUCUUCAGUCCAGGAUAUAUAAGUAGUUGUGCUCCCCUGCUAGAACCUCCAGACAAGCUCUCAAAGGGCCACCAGACACGUGGGGGAAAAUAACGCUCCCAGUCCCUAAU